UGUUAACAUUUCUGUGGCGACUGACGCUAAUGGCAUUCCACGUAUGGCACAUGGUUACAUGUUAAGCUCUAUAUAAAGCAAUCAAUUACGUUAAGAUCGACUAUCAGCUAAAAUCAUCUACUUGUAAGGUAAAUAGUCAGCAAGCUGAUUUCCUACUUCAAGCGAGAUACUGUGAAACAACUUGUUGAAAUGGAGAGACACACAAGGUAUCGUAACAGAUUACUUUGCCUCACUAUGGAGGCAGCGGGCACCCUGGAGUGGGACCCCGCUGCUCCCCGAGCCUGGAACUGCAACGGAACCCAUGCAGCUCAGACAGGCUUGGCUUCGCGAGGAGGAGAGGGAGAGGCAUCUUCGUGAGUCUCGCUGCUCACGAGAAGCUGCGACCUGCCAGGGAGAGCGUUGACAGUCGACCCAGUCAUCAAACGCGCUGAUCGACUCAGGAGCCUUCCGGCAACUUCAUUGACCAGAAGACUGCACAGGAACUAAACCUUCUGUUCGUCCACUACUCCAGCCACGCCCCAUCCAGUCUAUCGACGGGUCCCCCAUGGGGAGGUUCAUCUCCCACAGUACAGCACCCCUCGAAAUCCAGGUUCUAAGAGCUCCCCCUGAUGCCUCUGGGUUUCCACCAUCUCUAAGAUACAGAAUCUGUCCAGCUAAGGUGUAUGUGGAUGCUUCCCCGCAGACUGACUCCUCUCUCACUGCUUCUCCUGACAACUCGUCCGAACAUCCUGAAGGUGAUGAUGACAUGGCAUGUGCUGAUCCUGACUGUUACUUUUCACCUCCCUACACUCCUGCCAGCCCCGACAUUUCUCCUGACUGCUCACCUUACCGUCAGCCCCCCUCUCCAACUGAUUACUCUCCCACCAGUCCAAUUUAUCCCCAUUCUCAAUAAAGUUAUUUGU